UAUUUUCUGAAUCUCUUCAUCAUCUCUUUCAGUUCCGCUUCUCUCUCUGCCAAUAAAAAUUUGUUGCAUAUAUAAAUAGUCAUAUUGCUGCAUUUGUAUUCUAUUUUGGUGCUAUCAAAUAUACGACAAGAAAUAUGUUAUCACAGGUCCCUGUGAGAUAUUUUAAUUGCAAGUUUAUUGGAAUGAAGUUCCAGAUAAAAGUUAUUUGCGUUCCACUUAACGCUUAAUUGUAACGCUUGCAGACAUUACAAAAAAUUCCAUUUUAUUAAAAGAUUUUUUGAAAGAGAGUCCCCAAAAUUGGACUUCAAAUUAAAAGAGAGUAAAACAAUUUUAACAGUUCCAUUAAAGUUUAAUUAAAUUAAAUAUUUUCCAAAUAUUUUCACUCUAAAAUUAUGCUAAAGUUAUACUAAAAUUAUAUUAAAAUUUUGUUAAAAUUUUACUGAAAAAUGUUGUAAAACGUGGAAAAAAAUUCAGAAAAUUCAGAAAAGUUUUAUGGUUAUUUCUCCAAACCUUUCUUAAAAGUUUAUUUGCUAAUUUCUGUACAAUUUCACCACAUAUUUCUCCGCAAUUUUUACAUAAAUGGAUUCUAUUUUUAAACAAACUUUGGAGAAAUAUACAGAAUAUACAGAAAAAGUGCAACAAAAAUUUCAGAGAAAUUUUUCAUCAAAAUACAUAUAUAUAAUAAAAUAUUAUAAAUGUUAUUUCUUUACCUGUACUUCAUUUGGUUCAUAUAUGACGAUGAUUAGUUGAGGACCCAUCCAAAAUUGAAAUGGAGAAGAAUACUUCUUACAGAUCAGCAUGAUAAUAUCUAGAAAAUCUAAAAAGUUUUGAGAUGUUAGAAAUUUUAUAUUGUAAAUAAAAUAUUUUCAUAAAAUGA